AAAACUUGAAUGAACCUUUUGG
rnacentral:miRNA from 1 species